rnacentral:lncRNA from 1 species
AAUUAAAAUCUUGGUAGCCUUUGCCCCUUUGCACUUAGUGUUCACAUGUGCUCACACCAGUGUUUUUGGCCCUGGACUUUUCACUGAGACUUUGGUUCACUCACAACCUGACUAUCAGCAUUGCUUCUGUGCCCUAGCCUUGGCCAAUGAGAACCUCCUGCCUCCAGUUAUUCGGCAGACACUUGGUAACUUCCCUUCUACCACUUCACAAUAACUCACAUGCUGUAGGCAUUCCAACGCCCACUCUCAUAAGCAAACUUCAAGUCUUUUUCAAGGUAUUACUUCAUAAAGCCAGACAUGUUUUCUGCCUUGUUCACAGAAGAUUCUCACUGCCUAAAACAGUGUCCACCACACACUGAUCAAUAAAUAUCUCUAUGCUGUAAAACACGGGUCUCUUUCCAUGUGUUUAGCACAAAAACUUUAUAACAGCCAUUUCCUUG